rnacentral:rRNA from 1 species
CCUACGGGUGGCUGCAGUGGGGAAUAUUGCACAAUGGGCGCAAGCCUGAUGCAGCCAUGCCGCGUGUGUGAAGAAGGCCUUCGGGUUGUAAAGCACUUUCAGCGGGGAGGAAGGCGGUGAGGUUAAUAACCUCAUCGAUUGACGUUACCCGCAGAAGAAGCGCCGGCUAACUCCGUGCCAGCAGCCGCGGUAAUACGGAGGGUGCAAGCGUUAAUCGGAAUUACUGGGCGUAAAGCGCACGCAGGCGGUCUGUCAAGUCGGAUGUGAAAUCCCCGGGCUCAACCUGGGAACUGCAUUCGAAACUGGCAGGCUAGAGUCUUGUAGAGGGGGGUAGAAUUCCAGGUGUAGCGGUGAAAUGCGUAGAGAUCUGGAGGAAUACCGGUGGCGAAGGCGGCCCCCUGGACAAAGACUGACGCUCAGGUGCGAAAGCGUGGGGAGCAAACAGGAUUAGAUACCCGGGUAGUC